CCGCCUCCGCCUCCGCCAAGAUGGUGGCAUCGUGCGGGAAGCUGCCCGCCUCGGGCUUCGAUCCCAGGCCUCCGCCGCGCUCCGUUUCCGCCUAGAGCCCGGACAUCGGAGCCGGGCCACAGCCUCGUCUGCGCCGGGCCCGAGCCCGGGUCCUGCUGCGUCGGGUCCGCGGCCCAGAGCCACAUCUCGGGCCGGUGGUCGCCCCGUUCUCUGGCGCUGCGCGUCGCCUGAGGCCUUCCUGGGCUAGGCCUUGGCAGAGCCCAUCGCAGAGCUUGUUCUGCGGGCCUGGCCGGACCUCGGAGGCCCGGUCGGCCGACCUGACUCCCCGCCUUACUCCCUGCGCCUUUCCAGCUCGUCUCUGCCCACAGGCCUCAGAAACGCCUUCCGUCCCCUCCAGCUCUCAGUCACAACUACCAGUUUCUUUCCUCCUCAGAACUCAUCACUAGCUCAGAUACAUGUGUUCGCUGCGUGCCCUUACACCGCUGUAGACGCGCUGCUCCGAUUUCUAGAGGACCAGACCUUACUCAGGUAUAAAAACUGUGAAGAAAGCUGCUUAUCUGCAGGAAAGAAUGAAUGAAAUAAGGCAGCGUGUGAUAUGUUGUGUUCCAUGCAGUGAAGUGCUUCCCCACAGUAACGUAACUGUUACUGACUCUACUAUAAAUUUCUAAAUCUACUGAGGCAGUGGCGGCGCACACCUUUGAUCCCAGCACUUACGACGUAGAGGCAGGUGGAUCGCUGUGAGUUCCAGGCCAGCCUGGUCUGCAGAGCUACAGGAAGAAACACUGUCUCAAAAAAUAAAAAAAUAAAAAAAGCUAAAUCUAAAAGCUCUUGGCAUUGUCGAUGAGCAUCUGUCUGCAUGUGUGCUAGCACACCGGAAGAGGGCACCAGAUCUCACUGUAGACGGUUGGGAGCCACCAUGCGGUUGGCCAGGAAUUGAACUCAGGACCUUUGGAAGAACAGCCAGUGCUCUUAAACUCUGAGGUAUCUCUCCAGGCCUAGUUAAUCUAUCUUAUUUACUGAGUUUUAUUCCUUCAGGAGUGUACCCUGUACAACCUUCUAUCUUUAAACUACAUUAUUUAGAAACCCAUGUGUUUUAUUGUAUGAUUUUUUUUUUUGCUGUAUAUAUGUGCAUUACUUCAGUGUGUGUUUAAUGUGUAUGUUAAUUAUACGUCUGUGGGGUUUUUAUUUUAAUUUUUGUGUUCAUUGAUGUUUUGCUUACAUUGGGUGCGAGAUCCUCUCGAACUGGAGUUACAGUUGUAAGCUGCCAUGUGGGUGCUGGGAGUUGAACCCAGGUCCUCUAAAAAAGCAGCCAGGGCUCUUAAUGGCUAAGCAAUCUCUCCAGACCUUUUUCUUGGAAGACUUGAAUGCACUUAACAUUUUGUUCUUUGAAAACAUAUUUGGCAUCCUUGUUUAUCUCUUUGUCAGAUACAGAGUUUGCAAGAAUGGGAAGAUAUUUUUAGCACUUGUUUCUAAAGAUCCAUGCCAGGAUGUUCUCUGGAUACAAGAACUGGAGUCAGAGCACAUUUCUAUAGGUUGGUUCCAGUGCCUUGCAUUCCAGAAUGUUGGGUAGCUGUAGAUAGUAAGAAUGAGAAAGAGGGAAAGUUUAUUUUGGACUGUAGGCUCCCAUCAGCCCACACAGUCUUUCCUUCCUCAGAACACAGGAGUGGAAAGUUAUGCAGCUCAUUUCACAAAAGGGUUUCCUAGUUUACACUUAACUCUUUGGUCAAAUCUUGGACUUUAUCAGACACCCCUAUAACUUAUUUGUGCUUAUGAGUGGUAUUUUCCCUCAGCUCACUUCUGUUCCUGUAUAGAGUUAGCAUGUAGUAUUGAGAAUAUUCUAUAUGUUGAAGAAGAUGGAAUUAAGAAGAUGGCUGACUAAGCUGAAUAUAGUGGCUCAUGCUUUUGAUCCCAGUACUACAGGAGGAAAAGGCAAACGAAUCUCUGCAAGUUCAAGGUCAGCCUGGCCUACAUUAUGGAAAAAGGACAGCCAGAGCUACAUAGAUUCUAUCUUGAAAACAACAUGCAAAAAAAGAGGCUAGCUGACUGGGCACAUGGGUGACUAAGCAUUUCUGCCCUCUCUGAAUGUGUAUUAACAUUGUGUAUUACUUCCACCCCCUGGGUUUCAUUUAACAUUCUUUCCUGUUCUAGAUGUAUAAAUGAAUAAA